UGGUGUCAGGGCUGUGUUAACUAGGCGGGUGUCCCCUUCCUCCCUUACCACUCCAUGUGACUCCCUCUCAAAGCUGUGUACUUGGUGAAGAGGACAACCAUCCUAGAUAGAAGGAAUGUACUGAUCUUCAGUAAAAGGUAUACAGUGGCUGCCUUCUCCUGCUAGGAUCUCCAAACAAGUUCACAUAGACACUGCACAUCAUUUCAUAAGAAAUAUCUUGUCAACAAAGACCACAUUUUCUUAGAACACUAUAUACACUAUAUAUACUAUUCAUCA
rnacentral:snRNA from 1 species